GAUGAACGCUGGCGGCGUGCCUAAUACAUGCAAGUCGAGCGAACAGAUGAGGAGCUUGCUCCUCUGACGUUAGCGGCGGACGGGUGAGUAACACGUGGAUAACCUACCUAUAAGACUGGGAUAACUUCGGGAAACCGGAGCUAAUACCGGAUAAUAUAUUGAACCGCAUGGUUCAAUAGUGAAAGACGGUUUUGCUGUCACUUAUAGAUGGAUCCGCGCCGCAUUAGCUAGUUGGUAAGGUAACGGCUUACCAAGGCAACGAUGCGUAGCCGACCUGAGAGGGUGAUCGGACACACUGGAACUGAGACACGGUCCAGACUCCUACGGGAGGCAGCAGUAGGGAAUCUUCUGCAAUGGGCGAAAGCUUGACGGAGCAACGCCGCGUGAGUGAUGAAGGUCUUCGGAUCGUAAAACUCUGUUAUUAGGGAAGAACAAAUGUGUAAGUAACUAUGCACGUCUUGACGGUACCUAAUCAGAAAGCCACGGCUAACUACGUG
rnacentral:rRNA from 1 species